rnacentral:rRNA from 1 species
GCCCGUAAUCCGGGUUGCGGACAGUGUCUGGUGGGUAGUUUGACUGGGGCGGUCUCCUCCUAAAGAGUAACGGAGGAGCACGAAGGUUGGCUAAUCCUGGUCGGACAUCAGGAGGUUAGUGCAAUGGCAUAAGCCAGCUUGACUGCGAGCGUGACGGCGCGAGCAGGUGCGAAAGCAGGUCAUAGUGAUCCGGUGGUUCUGAAUGGAAGGGCCAUCGCUCAACGGAUAAAAGGUACUCCGGGGAUAACAGGCUGAUACCGCCCAAGAGUUCAUAUCGACGGCGGUGUUUGGCACCUCGAUGUCGGCUCAUCACAUCCUGGGGCUGAAGUAGGUCCCAAGGGUAUGGCUGUUCGCCAUUUAAAGUGGUACGCGAGCUGGGUUUAGAACGUCGUGAGACAGUUCGGUCCCUAUCUGCCGUGGGCGCUGGAGAACUGAGGGGGGCUGCUCCUAGUACGAGAGGACCGGAGUGGACGCAUCACUGGUGUUCGGGUUGUCAUGCCAAUGGCACUGCCCGGUAGCUAAAUGCGGAAGAGAUAAGUGCUGAAAGCAUCUAAGCACGAAACUUGCCCCGAGAUGAGUUCUCCCUGAGACUUAGAGUCUCCUGAAGGAACGUUGAAGACGACGACGUUGAUAGGCCGGGUGUGUAAGCGCAGCGAUGCGUUGAGCUAACCGGUACUAAUGAACCGUGAGGCUUAACCUUACAACGCCGAAG